UACGUAGGUGGCAAGCGUUAUCCGGAUUUAUUGGGUGUAAAGGGCGUGUAGGCGGGAAUGCAAGUCAGAUGUGAAAACUCAGGGCUCAACCCUGAGCCUGCAUUUGAAACUGUGUUUCUUGAGUGUUGGAGAGGCAAUCGGAAUUCCGUGUGUAGCGGUGAAAUGCGUAGAUAUACGGAGGAACACCAGUGGCGAAGGCGGAUUGCUGGACAGUAACUGACGCUGAGGCGCGAAAGCGUGGGGAGCAAACAGG
rnacentral:rRNA from 1 species